rnacentral:rRNA from 1 species
UACAGAGGUCCCAAGCGUUGUUCGGAUUCACUGGGCGUAAAGGGUGCGCAGGUGGGUUGGCAAGUUCGAUGUGAAAGCCCCGGGCUUAACCCGGGAAUGGCAUUGGAUACUGCUGAUCUGGAGGAUCGGAGGGGGGACUGGAAUUCUUGGUGUAGCAGUGAAAUGCGUAGAUAUCAGGAGGAACACCAAUGGCGAAGGCAGCUCGCUGGGACGGUACUGACGCUGAGGCGCGAAAGCGUGGGGAGCAAACAGG